CCUACGGGAGGCAGCAGUGGGGAAUAUUGGACAAUGGGCGAAAGCCUGAUCCAGCAAUGCCGCGUGAGUGAUGAAGGCCUUAGGGUUGUAAAGCUCUUUUACCAGGGAUGAUAAUGACAGUACCUGGAGAAUAAGCUCCGGCUAACUCCGUGCCAGCAGCCGCGGUAAUACGGAGGGAGCUAGCGUUGUUCGGAAUUACUGGGCGUAAAGCGUACGUAGGCGGUUAUUCAAGUCAGAGGUGAAAGCCUGGAGCUCAACUCCAGAACUGCCUUUGAAACUAGAUAGCUAGAAUCUUGGAGAGGUGAGUGGAAUUCCGAGUGUAGAGGUGAAAUUCGUAGAUAUUCGGAAGAACACCAGUGGCGAAGGCGACUCACUGGACAAGUAUUGACGCUGAGGUACGAAAGCGUGGGGAGCAAACAGGAUUAGAUACCCUGGUAGUCCACGCCGUAAACGAUGAUAACUAGCUGUUCGGGCUCUACGAGCUUGAGUGGCGCAGCUACGCAUUAAGUUAUCCGUCCGUCGGGAGGUACGGUCGCGAGAAUUAAACUACAAGUAGAAGUUAGUACGGCGUGAGACGUCGCCGACGGACGACGACGAGGGAGAGG
rnacentral:rRNA from 1 species